CAGGUCCAGUUUAUGCUGUCCCUGCAGUCAUGAAUGUGUGGCCUUCCACUGGAGGGAGCGUGGUUGACCUACUAAAGCUCCACUUCUUGCUUUUAUAGACAGUGCUGUUCUUUAACUGAGCACCUUUGGACUAUAGACAUUCAUCUAAAGGAUUAGAAAUUGAGCCUUUUGAUGACUCCUUGAUUAUGACUAUGCCAUUAUAAAAACUUAUUGUAGCAUUUCAACCACGUCUGACAUCAUCAGCUAUGAACAAAGCAUUUUGAAACAUGGAUUCAAGUCUGUAUUGAGCCUGAAUUAACUGCAGUUAACAGAAGUCCUGCCAACUGAAACAGGGAAGCAGAGAGGUAGCAGUGGUGAGAAGAUCCAGUCCCAGAAGAUGCUCUGUCUCUUUGCUUUUUGACAAUGUUGCUAUUUCUUCAAGGGCAUCAUGAUGAAGCAAGUGUAAGGUAGCAGCCAUUUUGCAAAAAGAAAGGCAACCCAGUGCAUUCUCUCCCUAGCAUGACAGAGUGGCUAAGUAGGGGAUUCUCCUGGUGGAUUUACUGGGAGCUAAUGCUUGUAAAAAGCACAUGUUCUGAAGCUUCUGUGAGCCUCUAGUUUCCCGACACAUUGUGUUCUAACCACAGGGCACUAAUGUAAGAAUUACUUGUAUGGAAAUAGCUGUAAUUAAGCGCCAUCUUUGACCUAGAAUGUAAAUGUAAUGGUUUUAGUUGUAUUUUCAUUCUCUUUUUGCUUCCCUCCCAUUCUUGGCCACCUUUUCUCGAAUGUACUGUAUCUGCAAAGCAAAGGAAGAUGAAAUGAAGUAAUGCCCAGAGCAUCAAAGCCUGAAGUAUAAUUGGAAGACUGCAGAUGUGCGAAUCAGUCAUGAGUUCCAUUACCUGAUAACAUCUGGAUGUGUUAUACAUGAGUACCUUGAAUUUUUCUUAGGCUUUAAAAUUUAAGAAUUAAAAGUCUGUCUUUAGUUUGUGCUAAUUUUGGAGGCUACAUUGUCAUCCGUUUGAAGAUGACUCAUUAAUACUAGCUAAUGGUGAUGUAAGUUAUUUUAGCAUUAUAAAAUAUCAUGACAUCACUGAAGCCCACGUAGAAAAAUGGUUUUUGCAUUAGGAUUUAAUUUGUCUCUUUUUAGAGUUGUUCAUUGAUCAAAUUAUUUUCAUAUUGUGUAUCAUAGAGGGAGAAGCUAAGUAAUGAGCUGAGAAUCGAUAGGAAAGUGAUGAAUCAGUCUUCCUCCAUCUUAGGCUUAAAAACCAUCUCAUAGUAAAGACAAACUAGACUCAUUCCUGUUUGUGAUUAAAUCUCUGUUUCUCAAGGAGUAGGCUGUGCACCACCUGUAACCUUAAGUACAAAUGGCUCUGUACUGCCUCUUCCAGAAAAUGACACUCAUGCCUUUGUUUCAAACAGUUGUAAUAACCAUCUUGCAACCCUAUCUUUGUUUCAAAAGGUUGUUAUGACCACUUUGUUAUGAUCACUUUGUAAUCAUGUUUUGUUUCAGGAGGUAGUUAUGACUAACUUGCUAUGCCUAUGCUCUGCUUCUGUAACCCCCCACCCCAUCUUGCCUGUCAAGUCCUGCAUUUGAAAACCCCCACCCCUGAGCUAUGAAAACCUUGUCUUCCUCAUGUCCAAGGCUGAUCUCUUGAACCCUGCCUUAGGAAAAGACAGCUCAUUGUAUGUGAAUAAAAGCAAUUGCUUUUA